rnacentral:rRNA from 1 species
GAUGAACGCUAGCGGCAGGCUUAAUACAUGCAAGUCGAGGGGCAGCGCGGGUAGCAAUACCUGGCGGCGACCGGCAAACGGGUGCGGAACACGUACGCAACCUUCCCAUAACUGGUGAAUAGCCCUCCGAAAGGAGGAUUAAUACACCGUAACAUAACGAAGAGGCAUCUUUUUGUUAUUAUAGUAGCAAUACGGUUUUGGAUGGGCGUGCGCCGGAUUAGGUAGUUGGCGGGGUAACGGCCCACCAAGCCUGCGAUCAGUAACUGGUGUGGGAGCACGAGCAGGCACACGGGCACUGAGACACGGGCCCGACUCCUACGGGAGGCAGCAGGAAGGAAUAUUGGUCAAUGGACGAAAGUCUGAACCAGCCAUGCCGCGUGAAGGAUUAAGGCCCUCUGUGUUGUAAACUUCUUUUAUCUGGGACGAAAAAAGGGCAUUCUUGCUCACUUGACGGUACCAGAGGAAUAAGCACCGGCUAACUCCGUGCCAGCAGCCGCCGUAA